GUGUGUGGUUUUGGUGAAGAGGGUCCGAGCAGUCAAGCACGUGUCUCCGUAGAAGGACACCUGGAGCAGGUGUCUCUGUUAAUGGUUUUAGUGCCUUUCUGGGUAUGACAAGAUGCAAGAAGUUGGGUUCACAAAGUUUUCUCUUGAAGUAUUUAUCUGCAGUCCUGUUCUUCCAGUUUUCCCAGAGCACAGAGUGCCUCAUGCCAGAUCUCUGCCCUGACCUCCUGUCAGGUGUGUUAAAGGUCACUGACCACUGGGUCCAGUGACUGCAUUCUUGUAGAACCAGAUGGUGAGCGGCUUUUUGGCUGCCAAGCGCAUCGCCCAUUUCUAAUGUGUGUUUGUGAAUGUGGAUGCCCUGUGGGUACCCAGCUGUUCUUGCACAGUUGGUCCAAAGACUGUUCUUUCUCGAACUGGAUUAUGUGGACACCUCUGUUGAAAAUCAGUUAUCUACGUACAUGUGGUCUUUUCCUGGACUUAUUUGUCGCCUUUGAUUUCCAAAUCGCCUUCCCACCUCCCACUUAGCUUUUCUUUCUCAAAACUGAUUUCCUGUUGAAUGUCUCUUACAUUUCUAUAUAGAUUUUGAAUCAGCUUCUCAAUUUCUACAAAGUAAAAAGCCCAUUGAGAUUUUGAUUUUGAGAUCAACUUUGAGAAUUUUCACCCUAGCAAUGAGCUUUCCAGUCUAUGAAUAUGGUAUAUCUUCCCCUUUCUUUAGAUAAUCUUUAAUUUCUCCCAGCAGUGCUUUGUGGUUUUCAGUGUAAAGAACAUGCAAAUUUUCACUAAGUUACUUCUUAGAUAUUUUAUGACUUUACUGUUACUGGAAGUGGGUGUUUUAAAAUUUUUAUUUACCGAUUAUUUGUUGCUAGUAUGUAGAAGCACAGUUUAUUUUUGUAUGAAGUUAGUGUCCUGGAACCUUGCAAAGUUCACUUAUUAAUUCUAGUGUUUUGGGGUCGAUUUUUUUAGAGCUUCCUGUGCUCACAAUUGUGCUUCUGUGAAUAGAGUCUUUCACGUCUUCCAGGUGACCUGAGCUGGGAAGCGAGGGUGGGGGGCUCACUCUCCCCUCUCCCAUCUCCCCAGAUCUUUGGGACUCACUGCCCCCCAUCCUCCUGCCAGAAGAGCUUGUGGGGGAGGUGGUGAGGGCAGGACAGCCCUCUGCUGCUCCCUCACUAUUUUCAAAGCAUCCUAACCCUCCGGAGGGCCCUGGCAAGACCCAGCCACCACCUCUGCAGAGCUGGGGGAGCAGGCUCAGCUGGAGGAGGCGGGGUGUGCGGGCGAGCGGGUAGAGAGGAGGAAGGAGGCCCUUCUCAGAGCUGAGGGUAAACAAGCAUGAACUCCACACCCCCUGCCUGUGCUAACAAAGACCCUGCCGCUUGCUCGGGUAAAUCGCACCUCCACAAAGUUGAAGAGAAGAACAGGACUGUGCUCUUUAGAAAGCAAGCUGAAGACGCUCAGUGGGACCUCAGCUGGGCUACAAAGCUGCAGGGAGACACCACGGGGCCCCGGAAACCACAUCCCGGACAUGUGCGUGGAAACUGCUGUGUCUGGGAAACGCGGAGAGCAAACUGGUCUGUGAUCACAGGAUCACGUGCCGCCGCUCUGUUCAAGCCUGUGUGUGCGUGGUGCGUGUGCACACGGGCACGUGAGUGUGAGUGUGUAAAGAAACUGAAAGAGCUUGCCAUCUCAGGUCCAGCCCAUGCACACUCUCAGGUCAGUAGAGCUCCCUCCCUCUCCCCUCCCCUCCCCUUCCCCACCCCUCCCUCUCCCCUCCCCCUCUGGCCCUCCCUCUGCUCCCAGGUGCCUGCUUUCCUAUCUCUCACCUGUUGAUUUGUGUGUGUGUCACUUGUUGGUCCCCCCACCUCAGCCCCUCUUCAGCCCCAGGAGCACAGGGACUGUCCCUUUACCAGGUCCCAGGACCAGGACCAGAAGAGGGAGGCACAUGGAAAAAGUGAGCAGGUGCUGCUCCAAGGCCAGGCCCUCAGGUGAGGGUGUCUCUGGUCGUUCUUGUCCUGAGUCACACUCCUGGCUUCUCUGCUCUGUAAACAAGGAACCAUACAGACACCUUGGAAAGAGCCUCAGGCUGGCCGGGCGAGCGGCUGGCCGGCCACUGGGGGGCAGUGUGGCUCUGCCUGCAGCUGUGUGAUGCGUGGCCUGGGGACGCCGAGGGGACUCCUGGGGUCCAGGCUGGCACCACUGCCCAAGGAGUGCGCGUCUGGGGAGUGUGGGCCAGGGCCAGCAGGCAGCCUCCACUUGCUCAGGCUUGGGACCGCCUGAGGAUCCUGGGUUGGGGGCAGGCAAGUCACCCUCCCCACCGGGACAGGGGCCUGGCCCAGAGCAGCCCCAGGCCGUUCCUGACCUCCUCCCCUCAGCUGAGCCCUGCUGGUCCCAACUGCUGUCCCCUGCCGGCCAGGCCUGGGCUGAGCACGCCCCCCUCAGGUCUGUCUGACCUGACACAGGGCCUGCCCGCCCUGUUCCUGCCCCAGAAGAGAGCAGAACAGUUCCCAACGUGCCCACUGCUUUGCUUACUUUGGCACAAGACUUAGGGCAAGAGACGUGCUUUUUCUCCCAGCAAAACUGAGUGAAAGGAUUCUCCCAUGUUCUAAACAUGCGCAUUCACAACUGAUACAGGAAAAAUGGAUGUGGGGUGAGGAGGGCCAUGUCCCAGGUCUCGGUGGAGCCCUGGGACAUGCCCCGCCGAGUGUGGGUCCUUGGCUGCACGUAGGAAAGAAUUCAAGGAGGAGCCACAGGUGAGUAAAGGUAGGUGUAUUCAGAGAGGCACACCCCCCCCAGACAGAGUGCAGGCUGUGUCCGAAGGCAAGCGCACGGCCACGCGCUGCGGGGCGGGUGCUCAGGGUAGCUGAAGGCAGGAGCACAGCCCGCACAGAGUGCGGGCAUGCUCUGAGGACCAGGGAGCGAGAGAGGCGGUGAGGCGUGGUGUUGCCAUUUCUCGUGGGCUCGGUAGCUUCACGUGCCAGCAAGCGGGCCGACCAUUCCAGCCACUCUGGGGAAGAGGCUGGGAUUCCCAGCAACUGGGCCAUGCCCACGCUGACCGUUCGUGCCAGCCUCGGGGCGGCACGGCACCCAUGGGUGUCAUUUCCUGUGCUGCUGCAUCACAGCGAGCAGACAGCGAAGCUCGAGUUCUGCCACAAGUCAGGUCUCCUGUCGCCUUAAUCCUCAGGGCCUACUGGGGGUUGAAUCGUCCACCAUUUGGGUGUUAAGUGCUGUGACAUUCCUUGACUGGCUGUGCCCUGCCCCCUUCCCUUCUGUCCCACAGCUUGAGUCUCCUGUCUUUGCCCCCAGGAGGAGCCAGCUCAGCGCUGGGUAAACCCUGGCUGCCUGUGACUGAGGCGGUGGAGCCUCCCUGGGGCCUGGGGCCCCAUGUGGUUAGCUUUACUCUUUCUAUCAUUACUGACAAAUUGAUAGAUGAACAUUUUUGUUAGUGUUUGGGCUUUUUUCCUACUUUAUUUUAUUUUACUUUUAACCUGUUGUCCAUAUUUGCAGAUCCUAGCAUUGUGCCUUGUUUCCAUUUUCAGCGGAGCACCCGGAGUCGCACCCCACCGCAGCCCUCCUCUUCCCCCCGGAGGCCCCGUUGUGAAUUCGGGGUGUGUGCAACUACUCCGUGGAGUUGUUGAGAUGGCUGCUGUCAGGACGUGACCACCAGGUGGCAGGCGGCUGCUGGCAUCAGGCCCCGGUUCCACAGCUCCACAGGCAACUCUUGGCAGUGUCGACUGAAAUAGACGCGCAGCCUUAAAGUUAA